rnacentral:rRNA from 1 species
AUGAGGCCGUGGUGGAGCGGCUCUUCAGCGCUGUUCCAGACCGUUUCACGGAAAAUCGUCAACACCAUUGAGCAGUGGGGUGAUGUCUCCGCGAUGACGGUGCAAGAGGCGAUUGGGCGCCUCACCGCGUUCGAGCAGAACCAGCGCGGUCGUCGUCAGAAUGGUGGCGAUGAAGGCGAGAAGCUAAUGCUUGUUUCACGUGCCCAGCUAGAAGAGUUGAUCCUUAAAGAGAAGAAGAAGGGUGUGGGCUCCAGCAGCGGCAACAAGAAUGACGACCAGGACGGGCGUGGCGGUGGCCGCGGCCAGGACGGUAAGAAGAAGGAACGUCGUGGCAAGUUUGACAAGUCGAGGAUCACUUGCUUCUAG